AUUAGUGUUUAAAAAAAAAAAAACUCAUGAAGUGUAAUUUUCAUGCCAUGGGACCUUUAAAAUAAGCUGUGAGUUUGGUUUUCUAAAGUAAAACUGGAUGUUUCUUGCUCUAUCCCUCACCAUACAGAUGAUGAUCUUAUAGAACAUGAUGCAUUGCUGUAGAUUAAGCUACCCAAUGUUUGUAGUGUUUGUAGUUGUACUAGUGGAGUAUUUUCACACUGUGGUAUAAGUAUUUUACUUAAGGGAAUGAUCUAAAUAAUUCUUCCACCACUGCACGUAUGUACUAUGUAUGAAUUUAAUAUUAGUGAUCUAAAAGAUCUUAAAUAAAUAAAUUAAAUACAUUACUGUUGUGAAUAUCUUAUCUUGUAAAAUGAAACUGAAAAUCCUCUCCUCUCUCCCCUCAAUGUUUUUCUCUACCUCCUCUCUACAUUGCUGCUGGACCAUCAGUGUUGGUUGCUCCGUGACAAGUCAACAGUGUGCAGCUGCCCUCCAGCUCCUCUCCAUCUCCCUCUACUUCUAUCACAUCUCUCUUUACUGGCCCUUCUAUCCACUCUAUCUAUUAUUGGUUCUUUUCACCUCUCUCCUAUAACAUCUACCACUCAUCCCUUAAUAUAAGGUUUUCUAUCUCUCCUGUCAAAUCUAAUAAAUCUAUCUAAAUUUGAGGUUUUCUAUCAUUCUAUCCCUCUAAUUCUAUCCCGCUCUAUCUACAUUUGGUUCUGCACUUGUUGCAAGUUACCCUCUGGUUCUGGUUCAAAGAUUAUCAUACCCAUUUGUUCUGGUUCAAAGAUUAUCAUAUUGUUCUGGUUGGAAAGCUACAGAUUACUGGUAUCUGUUUUGGAUUCAUGGGUUGAUUGGAACCUGAUCAUUCUGUUUUAUGGAUCUGUGAGUUUCUCUGCUCACACUUUUUCUACCUCUCCUGUCUCUCUCUCACACACAUUUGAUUUGGCCUUUUCAAUUGGCAAAAACCUUAUUGUAUUUUUGAAUUGUCCAUAUUGUAUCAAUAUUCUAUUUGGUAACAGUCAUAAUUAAAUAAAUUAUUAAGUAUUUUUUAGUUUGUUCAUUAAAUUAAUUGAAAAGACUGGAAACACAUAAAUAACACACAUUUUGUUUAACUUUUAUCACAAACAUUUGACUGUAAAAACUAAUUCAAAAUUAGAUCUGGUAAAUUUCCAAAUAUAUAAGUUGCUGUUAUAAAGUGUAUCAUUGAAGAAAACAGUCUCUUGUUAAUGUACAUAACAAUGAAUUGAAGUCCAAAUCUAUAUUUAUACAAGAAAAGAGCUGUAGUUGUUCCAGGACCGUGUUGCUGUGGAGCUCUGUACCAAAAGGUUUGUUUUGACUGCAAAUAUAUUCACACCAGAGUACACAUAAUCAGUUUUUGUUUGUACAAGUGUAAAAGUAAUUACACUACAUACAUUGAGUUAUUUGUCUCUGAUUCACAUAUUUGUACCUCAUCUAUAGAUCCACUCACAUUGUUUACAUCAACAAGUUUUGUAUGUGCUUUAUUGUUGGUUAAAUCUUUAUGAAAUAAAUAAACAGACUGUAAGGAGAAA